rnacentral:rRNA from 1 species
AUGUGUAUACCAAAAAAGCAAGGAGGCAUGGGGUUUAGGGAUAUCCAUUAUUUCAAUCUCACAUUGUUAGCUAAACAUAUGCCUCGUCUGAUUGACAACCUAGAAUAUUUAUAUGCAGUAAUUCUCAAGGAAAAGUAUUUCCCUGAGGGAGACCUGAUGAAUUCUACUUUGAAUAGAAAAGCCUCAUACUCAUGGCAGAGUAUCAUGGCAGGAGUGGACACAUUGAGGAGAGGCUAUAUUUGGACAAUUGGGGACGGUCAGAGCGUUAACAUUUGGUAAGAUCCAUGGAUACCUCACUCAUCUUCCAAAAAGGUUCUAACUAUUCGUGGGAAUAACCUUCUUUCAUGUGUCUCUGAUCUCAUAGAUCCGAGUUCAGGAGACUGAGAUGGGCGGUUGGUGAGGCAAACAUUUUGGCUGGUAGACGCUCAUAGAAUCUUGGCUAUCCCUCUACCGUUAUAUGAUAUCACCGACUUUGUGGCGUGGAGCACCUCGAGAACCAGGAUUUUUUGGGUCCGAUUAGUCUAUCAUGAUUUCAUGAAGAGUAGGAGUUUCAUUAUGGCCAUAAGAUUCAACCCAACACAGGGGCUUCCACCAACACUGAUACUUGGGAUUCGGUGUGGAAAUUAG